CAGCCGCCGCGGUAAAACGUAGGUGGCAAGCGUUGUCCGGAAUUAUUGGGCGUAAAGGGCUCGCAGGCGGUUUCUUAAGUCUGAUGUGAAAGCCCCCGGCUCAACCGGGGAGGGUCAUUGGAAACGGGGAAACUUGAGUGCAGGAGAGGAGAGUGGAAUUCCACGUGUAGCGGUGAAAUGCGUAGAGAUGCGGAGGAACACCAGUGGCGAGGGCGACUCUCUGGUCUGUAACUGACGCUGAGGAGCGAAAGCGUGGGGAGCGAACAGGAUUAGAUACCCCUGUAGUCCCUGUCUCUUAUAC
rnacentral:rRNA from 1 species